GGACGGGUAGCUCAGUUGGUUAGAGCGCCUGCUUUACACGCAGGAUGUCGCGGGUUCGAGUCCCUCUCCGUCCACCA
rnacentral:tRNA from 2 species